rnacentral:lncRNA from 1 species
GAGGCUGAGGGGCGGAACUAGGAGUGCGCAGAUGUGGGCCAGAGCGGAUUUCCCCUUCCCCAGGCAAAUUCGGCGCCCACUGCGUCCCCGCAGGCCACUGACCUUAGAGGACUACUUGCCCGAGACUCGUGGGGCUGGAUGGGAAUCGUAGUCUUCCUAGGAGUUGCCUCAGGUGGCGAUUCUGACCUUGGUACAGCAAUUACUGUGACGUAAUAAGCCGCAACUGGAAGCGUAGAGGCGAGAGGGCGGGCGCUUUACGGCGAACUCAGGUAGAAUUCUUCCUUUUCCGUCUCUUUCUUUUUAUGUCACCAGGGGAGGACUGGGUGGCCAACCCAGAGCCCCGAGAGAUGCUAGGCUCUUUCUGUCCCGCCCUUCCUCUGACUGUGUCUUGAUUUCCUAUUCUGAGAGGCUAUUGCUCAGCGGUUUCCGUGGCAACAGUAAAGCGUGGGAAUUACAGAUAAAUUAAAACUGUGGAACCCCUUUCCUCGGCUGCCGCCAAGGUGUUCGGUCCUUCCGAGGAAGCUAAGGCCGCGUUGGGGUGAGACCCUCACUUCAUCCGCUCUAAAACCAGCUCCAUCACUUGAAAUGGCAAAAUAAAUCAUGAAUGAGGCCGGGGGCUGUGGCUCACACC